ACUACGCCGCCGGGACUGCAGAGGCGCACUUGGCCGCCGGCUGCGCCCAGAAGUGGGUGCAGCCGGCGCAAGCCGUCGGCGCCGACCAGCAGCGCUACAGGGGUGUGCAAAACGGGAACUACCAGGAAAGCGAUGUGCGCCCAAGAGCCGCCUCAGUGGUGGCGUGUGGCUUGCACCGGGACACCUCAGUCAGCGGGCGCUGCUGACGGGUCCUCAGUUAGCCCGUAAAGAACACGAGGACCUGCGACUGGACUCCUUGCAACACCACCUGAGGAAGGCUCCCAGCGAGGAAGAAGCCGGGCCCCCUCACAACAGCCUAGGGGGGCCUGCCCUAACGCUAAACGGCAGAGGAAAACGAUUAUGAAAAACGAACGACGCGCGGCUGCCCAGGGUGGGCUGCCUGCACCGUGAGCAGCUGCCACGGCGGGGCCUCGGCGCCGCCGCCGGCGGAGGGCGACGCAGCCGAGGCCCUCUCACGCCGACGGACCCCUCGUGCAACCGCAGGGAGGGACAUCUCGUGAGUGGGCCCCAACAAGACUCCAAAACUUACCUUUACGCUACAAACUGUUUCGCAAUUCGCCGUAGCGGUGAAGGAGUGACUCUGGGCCUCGAGGUCAACGUCUGGCAGAAGCACGCGGUGCGGUGCAGUGCAGCGGACCAGGGCGACAUCUCAGCUGGUGGCAAGCGGACGCGGACCACUCUGUUCCCGCGGCGGUGACACUUCGUCAGUCGCCGAAACUACUCGGCGGCGGCCGGCUGGGGCCAGCCGGCCGCCGGUGAGGCGGGGGAAGCCUUGGCGCAGCCCCAACUUCCCAGCGCACAGUAGAGGCUGGGUGUCGGAAGCCGCUUCCGGCGGACUGUGCAUUGGUGGGUAGCGGAGCUCCUGAUUGGGGGCCACGUCAAAUCACGAGACAGCUGCCCGCCCCGUGGUCGCCUGACGGCUCCCAUCGUCGGCGACAAUUCCGUCCUUUUCACCCUCGCCCCCUCCCCUCUCCUUUCCAAAGACUGUGAUCCUCGUUGUUUCCCCAAACCACCGUCCACGUCCAUUACCUUCCUUAUUUUUCUCUUACCCGUUACCCCUCGAUCCAUAUCCCACUUACUACACACUCGCUGCUGGACGCCAUCCCACACUCAGGUUCUCGUACGAAACUUCUCGCAACUACUACACCAGUGGUGUCCCACACUAAAUCUUCAUCGCCCUGUACGUUCCAGUUUUAUGGAAUAAAAAACUGCAAAAAAUA